UAAUAGGAACCCCUUCCAUUCCAAGCUGGCUGCUGCUGUGCUUGGUGGUGUUGACAACAUCUGGAUUGCUCCUGGUACUCGUGUGCUGUAUCUCGGUGCUACUUCUGGCACAACUGUGUCUAAUGGGUCUGAUAUUGUUGGACCAGAAAGGGUUGGUUUAUGCUGUUGAGUUCUCUCACAGGAGUGGUAGGGAUCUUGUCAAUAUGGCAAAGAAGAGAACCAAUGUGAUCCCCAUUAUUGCUAAAGGGGACUUUCAUCAUGAAAGUGCUUUUUUUUCUGUCGUUCUCUUAGCAGCAGGAGAUUAUUGAAUCUCUAGCAGGUGGGCGAGCUUGGAUUUUUUUUUUUUUCCAAUUAGACUGAUCUAUCUCUUUUCUUCUCCCCGGUAGGAAUUUUAGAAGUCUCAAGUUACUUGUAGUAAUUAGAAGAGUAAAAGUUAAAAAAGCUUCUGAUUCGUACCUGCUUUC